UACAGAGGUCCCAAGCGUUGUUCGGAUUCACUGGGCGUAAAGGGUGCGUAGGUGGUCGGGUAAGUCUGAUGUGAAAUCUCCGAGCUUAACUCGGAAAUGGCAUUGGAUACUAUCCGGCUGGAGGGUCGGAGGGGGGACUGGAAUUCUUGGUGUAGCAGUGAAAUGCGUAGAUAUCAAGAGGAACACCAGUGGCGAAGGCGAGUCCCUGGACGACUCCUGACACUGAGGCACGAAAGCUAGGGGAGCAAACAGG
rnacentral:rRNA from 1 species